rnacentral:lncRNA from 1 species
AUGUCUGGAUGCCAAAAUAUAUCUGGCACCAAAUAUUCUAGAUUUGGGAUUGUGGGCCUGAACCCACUAGAAGGCCAGUUGCAACAGUUUGUAAUGGGUGCCCACAAGGACAUUUCUGAGUCCAGGUGGAAAGAGCAUUUCAGCAGAGUUACCACUUUCCUCACAUGCUGCCAGGAGUCAUGCUGGCUAUCCCCUCCUCAUAAAAACAAAUCUGUCACUUAUGGCCUAUGAGGAGGGACAAGAACCUUGUCACUGAUUGAGCCCUUACUAUGUGUAAGGCACUAUGUUAGUUAAUCUGCUCACAUUUUCUCAAUGUGGGCAAAUUUCUCAGUUUCUAUAAGCUUAGAAGGUCUGUAUUAUUAACCCUAUUUUUUCACAUGAGAAAACAGACCCAGAGAAGUUAAGUGACUUCUCCCAAUGUGCCAGCCAUCAGGUGGAGCCAAGAUGAGAAUUCUUGUUUGACUUCCCGAUUUAGAAUGCUCAAAUGUUGGGUGUCUAAAAGCCAGUGGUGAGACACUGCUUUAGCAGAUCACAGAAAAUAAGAGAAAAGGAGAACAUUCUUUCCAAGAAAUAUUACUCAAGAAUGUAACCCCUUGGGGCCAGUCCCAUGGUCAAGUGGUUAAGUUCAUGUGCUCCGCUCUGGUGGCCCAGGGUUUCAGCAGUUCUGACCCUGGGCACAACCCUAGCACCGUGCAUCAAGUCACGCUGAGGUGGCAUCCCACACGGCAGAACCAGAAGGACCUAGUACUAGAAUAUACAACUAUGUACUGGGGGCUUUGGGGAGAAGAAGGAGAAAAAAAAAGAAUGUAACCCCAAACAGAAUCCAUGUGAUUUUCUCUGUAACGAAACAUAUUAAAAAAGAAGGGAGUUGGCAUCUUCUCCUCUCCUCUCAGCCUAUCCUAAUCCCAUCCAUCUCCAAGGCUUGACUCCAGGCAUGCCUCCUCCGUCACGGCUUCUCUGAGUACCCUUUAUCUGGAACUCAGCCCUGGCUAUCAGUAUCAUAUGCUGCUUUAUGUUGCUGGUUUCCUCUCUUCUAACUUCUUUUCCCAACUCAUAAUUACCUAAUGGAAAUUCUAAUAAGCAGAGAAAUGCUAAGAAAGAAAAAAGUAAAGGAAGCAAACUAAGCAUCUAUGGAUGGAUGAAUGGAUAAAAAAAUAUGUUGUAUACAGACAAUGGAAUAUUAUCUGCCAUAAAAAGAAGGAAAUCUUGCCAUGUGUGACAACAUACAUGGACCUUGAAGGCAUUAUGCUAAGUACAACAAGUCAGAUAGAAAAAGACAAAUACUGUAUGAUCUCACUUACAUGUGGAAUCUAAAAACAAAAAACACAAAACAAACCUCACAGAUACAGAGAACAGAUUGGUGGUUGCCAGAGGCAGAGGGUGAAGGGUGGGUGAAAUGGGUGAAGGGCAUCGAAAGGCACAAACUUUUGGUUAUAAAAUGAAUAAGUCAUGGAGAUGUAAUAUACAGCAUGGUGACUAUAGUUAACAGUACUGUAUGGUAUACUUGAAAGUUGCUAAGAGAAUAAAUUUUAAAAGUUCUCAUCA